UGGGGCGUCACAGGUGUCUACUUGGAGCAAGCGCAGAAUAUCUGCAAACUGCAACUGCUAGUUUACGUUUGCGCGCAUGCGCGCAACCUCAGGACCGUGUCUCUUAAAAAAGGCUGGAAGCCAGAUCUCCACUAAAAGUUACAGAAGAAAGCGAAAGCUUUAGCGGCUAAGAGCAUCUUUACAAAGCUGAAUCCCGGCUCAUGGAUGUAGUCAAGUAGCAAGUUUUACACAGGUGGACGCUGGAGGCCACCCUCUUAUUCGUGCUGGUUUCAAGAACAGGCUAGCCCUGCAUUCCAAAUUCUAGAGCCCUUGUGGGUUUCCCACCCCAGCCCUGAGGACAGCCUCAGCCCAGUCUCAGGUCUACUUGGAAUAAGGACAUGGUAGCAACCUGUGCUGCUUAGAAGAGGCUUGGCGGAGACAGCUGGUGACAGAGGGUGUGGCGGCAUUCAGGCUGCUUGAGGAGCGCAAGAGCUUCGUCACUACUAAGAUGGCACCAGCCUUGGUUACCAGGGGGCUGAGGCAAGUAUAGAGCUCAAACUUGGAAGUCACCUGGAGAGAGGGGAGGAGAGAGUCAGAUGAGCUAGAGCUGGUCAUGGACAAUUCUGUGUUCCCAAACCCAACCCUGUGUGCUCUGAAGCUUGGGACACAUGCUUGGCAGCAACCGGAUAUGGCAACCGGAUAUGGCUUUCUGGGCAAUCUGGUAUUCAUCCUAUCAAAGGCAGACAAGAGGCCAGCUGGAUCAGCAGCUUCAACUGGGUGAUUCUGACUCUGUGUGUUUCUUCGUAUGCUGAUCCGCAGAUUAGAGAUAAUGUAACAGCAAUACUGGAAACUGAGUGAGCAAUCAUUACAUCCAUGGCUGUCCUUGCUCCUGCCCCUGUGGUAUCAUCUCAGCCUUGCAGAGUGGAAGAUUCAAUGUGAUCUUCACACAAACAUGAGGCCCAGCCCCGAGGUCUCCAGGACCUUCUCUGUGCCACUUCCCACCACUCUGCCCAGUGUUCUCUUUCUGCCCCAGCAACUUUGGCCUUUCUUCUGCUGUUUCUCCAAUCCAGCCAGCCUCAGCCUUGCCUCACAUCCUGGCCUUUUCCCUAUGCAUAGGCAGUUCCUCCUCUAGGGACCUCUAGCUCACCACGUCCUCUCCACUUGGCAGCCAUCUUUUCAGCAAGCCUUCUCCCGACCACUUGAUCUAAAACCCUGGAGUUCCUUAGAAAAAGACGGUAGUGUUCCCUGGCAAAAUGGCUGAGUCCAGAAAGGAUGUAGUAUGUCAAGUAAGCUGUACUUGUACGUGACAGAGAUGUGCCAAUGGGAGACAGGACCCAAGCUACCUAAAUCAGGGAGUCCACUAGCUAAGUCCAAAAUAACUGCAGAAAAUGCUAGAAAAAUAUUUUACACUACUGAAAUCAAGAACAAUCUCAAGAGGCCAUAUUUAUAUAAAAUAUAAACUUCUGGGCCAGUGAAACGGCUCAGUGGAAGAAGGGGCACCUGCCACCCAAGCCUGACAAUCUGGUAGAGUAUGGAUUCUCACAAGCUGUCCAUUGACCUCUACACUCAAUAUACAUGUGCGUACAUGCAUACUAAAUAAAUAAUAAAUGUAAUUU